rnacentral:lncRNA from 1 species
CACGAUCCCACGCAAUGCACAAGCCAUAAUACACUCCUCCACGGGCUUUGGCGAGGAAGUGAGCGGCGUUGACGGAGUACUCGAAGCGGGAGACGCAGCCGAAGGAGAAGAAGCAAGAGGAGUGAGAUGGGAAUGAGACAGAGUCAGGUUUUGAUGCGCCGGAGAAAUGUUCAACGCCUUGUUGUUGCAGAAAAGAGACGAGGACGGGGAGAAAACCGGCAAGCUGCAGACGGCAACAGACAUCGUUUCCUGUAAACCUUUUUUGUUAAUGAUUUUUUUUUCCUGUAUAUUUAUUUUGUUUGCGUUCUCCUAGUCGUUUGAAUGAAUGUUAUCAACGAAGGUGAAAAGAAGCUAUAAAUAGAAGAGAAGUCUCCGAGGCCUAUCGGUGACGACGCUUUCUUCUUCAAAGUCAAACGCUACCACCACCAUCUUCUUCUUCUUUGACUUUUCAAAUCACGAACCCACCGCCACAGUCCACUUGUUCCGCCUUAUUUUUAAAAAAUGUUGGUCAACUCCAUUUUGUUGUUACUCUUCCAGAAAAAAAAUAAUUUUGGAUAACAGAACGGAAAAAAAAAGUCAAGAGAAAUAAAUUGUGGUUAUGAACAUAAAAUUCAUUUGAUCACUUCACCUUGAUGUCUGGUGGAGGAAGGAUGAAUAUAAUGAAACACGUGGUAUUAUUAUUUUUCCAUCACACGUGUUACAUAUUGUGAGGAAAAGUCAAAAUAGAAAGAAAGCCCAUCUGAAAAUAAUAAAAGCCGUUUAGAGUGGAGGCCCUAUAGACAGAAAGCCUAUAAUAGUCGGACCGACAUGGAUACAUGGAUAUUUUAUAAUAUUUCUAGAACCCGACCCGGUUCACACUUUUUGUUCCCGGCGGCCGUCUCUCUCCCUAACUCUUGUGACACCUUCUUCUUCUUCUUCCUCCUCUUCUCCUUCGAAGUCAGGUUAGAUUUACGCUUCUUUUAUAUUUACUUUGGGUUUAUGAGAUUGGUUAUCUGGAUUCUUAGUGUUUGUGGUAUCGAACAGAACGGAACACUAAGAUACUCAUGUAAAAGAGAAUCCACUUGGACUUAAGAUCGUACUAAACUUUCAGACGUUCAGAUUUUUUAAGAUUAAGUUUCUAGCUGAAGUAUGUAUUUAUCAGCUAUAUAUAUAGGGGUAUAAACGUUAGAGAUAUCCUGUGUUACGUAACAAUUAAGACUCAUGCACAUACGGUAUGUUAAUAUACACAGAGUGCCCUAAUAACUAAUAUGACAAAUGAAGUUUAAACAUUCUUAAGGUGUUCUCUAAUCUCUACAUAUCUCCACUGGUCAGAUGAAGCGGCGUAACGGAAUCAACAUAACACUGAUAUCGUCCAAGGAGCCUCGUGAAACAGAGAGGUCAACGAGCUUCUUACACGCUAGCAAUGGCUUUUGGUUCUGAUCGGUUCCCAUGCAGAACGGUCGAGCUAUAUCUACUGUCUCCUGGUUACCAACCUUUUCCCACAGACCGUCUGAAGCUAAGAUCAAGAACUCGUGUUGGGGGUUGAUACGUAAAGUCUUUGUCUCUGGCUCAGAUAUCACCCAUCUUUUGAGAUGCGCAUCUCCGAUUCCUCUAGACAGGGGCGGAGGCAGUGAAGGAGGUGUGGGGUCAGCUGACCCCACUACUUUUUUAAAAAUAUUUUUUUUUAUUUAAGAAAAUUUGUAUUGACCCCUUUAAAAAUGAAAAUUUGACCCCACUAAAAAUAUAAUUUCACAAAUAUAAUCACAAAACAUUAAAGAUUGAAGAUAAUUUAAAAUUAUAUAAAUAAUAUGUUUAUUUUAUUUGUUAAACAUUUGAUUUAUAUUAAUUUUAGCUUAGAUUUCAAUAAACACGUUUUUAUAAUAAGUGUUAGUUACAUAUUUCAAUAACUCCCAAAUUGUAUUAGGUCCAAUAAUGAGCGAAUUUGAAAAAAAGAGAUUUGUACUUCUUUUCUGGACAACGCAAAGAGGAAGAACUCUCAUGUUCCCCAAACAAUUUUUAGAUAAUUUUUUUUUGAUCGAAUAAUUUUUAAAUAAGUUUUCUAUUUUUUUUUGUUAUACACUCUCUUCUUUAUUUUAGCAAACUAAAAAUGAUUAUGAUUCAAUGAUUAUGUAAAUUUAUCAGUUAACUAAUGGAUCAGUUUCUGAAUCGGCAAAAAAAUAUCAGCCAAUGAAAAUCAUCAAAAAAUAAUAUUACAAUAUCGCAUCAGUAAUGAAUUUCUAAAACUUUUAUGAUUUGUUUUAUCAAAAUUAUUUUAAAUUGUAGUAAAUAAUUAUGGUAAACAAGUUUUAAGAUAUGAAUGAUCAUAUAGUAUAUUUAUAGUUUUUCCGUGGUUAUAAAUUAUGUAUUUGGAGAUAAAAAAAUUUGACCCCGGUACAAAAACUUUCUGGCGGCUCCGCCACUGCCUCUAGAUACCGCUAAAGAUCCUUGGAUUCUCCAAACACUGUUAAAUGUAUCAACAUAACCGCCCUGCAAGAUUAUCAUGCUAAAACUCAGAACCAAAAACAUACUAAAACGAGGUUGUACUACGUAGGUUGCUAUUUUUUCUAAAACCCUAAAAACCAAGAAAAAUAUAAACUGAAUGAAGACUAAAUAUCAAUGCACUACUUAAUCAUAUUCUUGAAAAUCAACCAUAAGUUUAUUGAAAAAUGAUUUACAAACAUUAAAUGUUAAUAUAGAGGUAUGAAUUAUUACCGAGCUUUCAAUUCUGUUCCGUUCAUCGUCCCUCGAAGGGCGGUGGUCAGAAGUCAGAGCCUCCGCGAAUCCUCCAACGCUCAAAACAGCACGGCAGUCACCGGCAUUGGACACCACGAGAUUCCCAUCUUUAAUCAGAGCCGUGACGCAGCAAGAUCCUCCCUUAACAUCUUUCUCCUUGAGAAACUCAGAAUCAGUCGUUAGGUAACCACGUUUCACAGCUUCUUCAAUAUCUGACUCGUUCCUCUCACUACCUCUCUCUCCUAGAAUGUUAUUACACAAGUUCUUAGCCGCAAACUCAGCCGCUCUUGAUCCUCCAUGACCAUCAUAGACUCCAAAAAUUGCCUGCAAAUCGUAGAACAACAUUUGAGAUUUAAUGACUACUUCUACAAUAUGAACUUCACAUAUGAUUCAUUGGUCAUAUUAGAAUUUUGAUAGGGAGCUUUGAAUUUGAUUCAAUGUUCUAAAAUCCAAAUCUUAUUUGGCAAAAUAAAUUUAUUCUAAAAUCUAAACUAUCUGAUUCCCACACAAAAAAUGAGAUUAUAUAUAAUACAUAUUGGAAUAUCAUUUUUCUAGUAAUUAUUACAAUUUGAAAUAAUAAAAGAGAACUGAAGUUACCUGUUUGGGAUCUCUUUCAAGAUUGGUGAUGGCAGAGAACCGAUCCUCCAUAGCUUCUCUCUUUCCUCUCUUGCAGUAAACUGAAAACUCAUCACCUUCCCUUUCCACCUCUCCACUUUCUUCCCUUGUCGUCUCUGCAUUCACAGAGAUAGGUGCUGCAACACCCACGGGAGCCACCGGUAUGUCUAGCCUCGUAGGUCGCUUCCUCUUCAGAACGCCUCCCAGCUGGCGGUCAAAGGGACCAGAGUCCGAACCAAACACUGAAUUAACCGGCGGUUUAAGAAGACGGAGGCAGAACGGCGAAGUGGGAGACGCAGCCGAAGGAGAAGAAGCAAGAGGAGUGAGAUGGGAAUGAGACAGAGUCAGGUUUUGAUGCGCCGGAGAAAUGUUCAACGCCUUGUUGUUGCAGAAAAGAGACGAGGACGGGGAGAAAACCGGCGAGCUGCAGACGGCAACAGACAUCCUUUCCUUUAAACCUUUUUUGUUGAUGAUUUUUUUUUUUCCUGUAUAUUUAUUUUGUUUGCGUUCUCCUAGUCGUUUGAAUGAAUGUUAUCAACGAAGGUGAAAAGAAGCUAUAAAUAGAAGAGAAGUCUUCGAGGCCUAUCGGCGACGACGCUUUCUUCUUCAAAGUCAAACGCUACCACCACCAUCUUCUUCUUCUUUGACUUUUCAAAUCACGAACCCACCGCCACAGUCCACUUGUUCCGCCUUAUUUUUAAAAAAUGUUGGUCAACUCCAUUUUGUUGUUACUCUUCCAGAAAAAAAAUAAUUUUGGAUAACAGAACGGAAAAAAAAAGUCAAGAGAAAUAAAUUGUGGUUAUGAACAUAAAAUUCAUUUGAUCACUUCACCUUGAUGUCUGGUGGAGGAAGGAUGAAUAUAAUGAAACACGUGGUAUUAUUAUUUUUCCAUCACACGUGUUACAUAUUGUGAGGAAAAGUCAAAAUAGAAAGAAAGCCCAUCUGAAAAUAAUAAAAGCCGUUUAGAGUGGAGGCCCUAUAGACAGAAAGCCUAUAAUAGUCGGACCGACAUGGAUACAUGGAUAUUUUAUAAUAUUUCUAGAACCCGACCCGGUUCACACUUUUUGUUCCCGGCGGCCGUCUCUCUCCCUAACUCUUGUGACACCUUCUUCUUCUUCUUCCUCCUCUUCUCCUUCGAAGUCAGGUUAGAUUUACGCUUCUUUUAUAUUUACUUUGGGUUUAUGAGAUUGGUUAUCUGGAUUCUUAGUGUUUGUGGUAUCGAACAGAACGGAACACUAAGAUACUCAUGUAAAAGAGAAUCCACUUGGACUUAAGAUCGUACUAAACUUUCAGACGUUCAGAUUUUUUAAGAUUAAGUUUCUAGCUGAAGUAUGUAUUUAUCAGCUAUAUAUAUAGGGGUAUAAACGUUAGAGAUAUCCUGUGUUACGUAACAAUUAAGACUCAUGCACAUACGGUAUGUUAAUAUACACAGAGUGCCCUAAUAACUAAUAUGACAAAUGAAGUUUAAACAUUCUUAAGGUGUUCUCUAAUCUCUACAUAUCUCCACUGGUCAGAUGAAGCGGCGUAACGGAAUCAACAUAACACUGAUAUCGUCCAAGGAGCCUCGUGAAACAGAGAGGUCAACGAGCUUCUUACACGCUAGCAAUGGCUUUUGGUUCUGAUCGGUUCCCAUGCAGAACGGUCGAGCUAUAUCUACUGUCUCCUGGUUACCAACCUUUUCCCACAGACCGUCUGAAGCUAAGAUCAAGAACUCGUGUUGGGGGUUGAUACGUAAAGUCUUUGUCUCUGGCUCAGAUAUCACCCAUCUUUUGAGAUGCGCAUCUCCGAUUCCUCUAGACAGGGGCGGAGGCAGUGAAGGAGGUGUGGGGUCAGCUGACCCCACUACUUUUUUUAAAAAUAUUUUUUUUUAUUUAAGAAAAUUUGUAUUGACCCCUUUAAAAAUGAAAAUUUGACCCCACUAAAAAUAUAAUUUCACAAAUAUAAUCACAAAACAUUAAAGAUUGAAGAUAAUUUAAAAUUAUAUAAAUAAUAUGUUUAUUUUAUUUGUUAAACAUUUGAUUUAUAUUAAUUUUAGCUUAGAUUUCAAUAAACACGUUUUUAUAAUAAGUGUUAGUUACAUAUUUCAAUAACUCCCAAAUUGUAUUAGGUCCAAUAAUGAGCGAAUUUGAAAAAAAGAGAUUUGUACUUCUUUUCUGGACAACGCAAAGAGGAAGAACUCUCAUGUUCCCCAAACAAUUUUUAGAUAAUUUUUUUUUGAUCGAAUAAUUUUUAAAUAAGUUUUCUAUUUUUUUUGUUAUACACUCUCUUCUUUAUUUUAGCAAACUAAAAAUGAUUAUGAUUCAAUGAUUAUGUAAAUUUAUCAGUUAACUAAUGGAUCAGUUUCUGAAUCGGCAAAAAAAUAUCAGCCAAUGAAAAUCAUCAAAAAAUAAUAUUACAAUAUCGCAUCAGUAAUGAAUUUCUAAAACUUUUAUGAUUUGUUUUAUCAAAAUUAUUUUAAAUUGUAGUAAAUAAUUAUGGUAAACAAGUUUUAAGAUAUGAAUGAUCAUAUAGUAUAUUUAUAGUUUUUCCGUGGUUAUAAAUUAUGUAUUUGGAGAUAAAAAAAUUUGACCCCGGUACAAAAACUUUCUGGCGGCUCCGCCACUGCCUCUAGAUACCGCUAAAGAUCCUUGGAUUCUCCAAACACUGUUAAAUGUAUCAACAUAACCGCCCUGCAAGAUUAUCAUGCUAAAACUCAGAACCAAAAACAUACUAAAACGAGGUUGUACUACGUAGGUUGCUAUUUUUUUCUAAAACCCUAAAAACCAAGAAAAAUAUAAACUGAAUGAAGACUAAAUAUCAAUGCACUACUUAAUCAUAUUCUUGAAAAUCAACCAUAAGUUUAUUGAAAAAUGAUUUACAAACAUUAAAUGUUAAUAUAGAGGUAUGAAUUAUUACCGAGCUUUCAAUUCUGUUCCGUUCAUCGUCCCUCGAAGGGCGGUGGUCAGAAGUCAGAGCCUCCGCGAAUCCUCCAACGCUCAAAACAGCACGGCAGUCACCGGCAUUGGACACCACGAGAUUCCCAUCUUUAAUCAGAGCCGUGACGCAGCAAGAUCCUCCCUUAACAUCUUUCUCCUUGAGAAACUCAGAAUCAGUCGUUAGGUAACCACGUUUCACAGCUUCUUCAAUAUCUGACUCGUUCCUCUCACUACCUCUCUCUCCUAGAAUGUUAUUACACAAGUUCUUAGCCGCAAACUCAGCCGCUCUUGAUCCUCCAUGACCAUCAUAGACUCCAAAAAUUGCCUGCAAAUCGUAGAACAACAUUUGAGAUUUAAUGACUACUUCUACAAUAUGAACUUCACAUAUGAUUCAUUGGUCAUAUUAGAAUUUUGAUAGGGAGCUUUGAAUUUGAUUCAAUGUUCUAAAAUCCAAAUCUUAUUUGGCAAAAUAAAUUUAUUCUAAAAUCUAAACUAUCUGAUUCCCACACAAAAAAUGAGAUUAUAUAUAAUACAUAUUGGAAUAUCAUUUUUCUAGUAAUUAUUACAAUUUGAAAUAAUAAAAGAGAACUGAAGUUACCUGUUUGGGAUCUCUUUCAAGAUUGGUGAUGGCAGAGAACCGAUCCUCCAUAGCUUCUCUCUUUCCUCUCUUGCAGUAAACUGAAAACUCAUCACCUUCCCUUUCCACCUCUCCACUUUCUUCCCUUGUCGUCUCUGCAUUCACAGAGAUAGGUGCUGCAACACCCACGGGAGCCACCGGUAUGUCUAGCCUCGUAGGUCGCUUCCUCUUCAGAACGCCUCCCAGCUGGCGGUCAAAGGGACCAGAGUCCGAACCAAACACUGAAUUAACCGGCGGUUUAAGAAGACGGAGGCAGAACGGCGAAGUGGGAGACGCAGCCGAAGGAGAAGAAGCAAGAGGAGUGAGAUGGGAAUGAGACAGAGUCAGGUUUUGAUGCGCCGGAGAAAUGUUCAACGCCUUGUUGUUGCAGAAAAGAGACGAGGACGGGGAGAAAACCGGCGAGCUGCAGACGGCAACAGACAUCCUUUCCUUUAAACCUUUUUUGUUGAUGAUUUUUUUUUUU